ACGCCUUUCGAGCCCCUCUGAUGGGCUCGGUGUUGGGGCGCUAGGGGGCGGUUUCUCGCGAAGCCCCCCCUAGGCCCCCAAGCAGAAGUGCGCGGUUCGGCUGCGGACCCCGGGUACAGUAACUUCACCGUUAGAUGCCCUGGGAGAAGCAGCUGGGCCUGCCGUAAAACCCCCGACAUAGGGACCGCCGUGCUCACGCGCGGAGGGACCGCCAUAUG
rnacentral:misc_RNA from 1 species